rnacentral:lncRNA from 12 species
UGGGACUCGGUGUAGUGCAAUAAUUUUCUCUCUCCUGGCAAAUCCUGAGGUUAGAGAGAGCUCUCUUAGUUGGUGUAGUCCUGGGUGACGGGGACCCUGGAGUGAUGGCUAUGGGACAGAACUGAGGGUGGGUGUGAGACAGCGUGGGCCUGCAGGAGAAACAAGUUUUCAGGGCCUUCCCUCUGCUUCGUUUAGGACAUCCCCCUUCUCUGUCUUUCUUUUGCAAAGUGUGCCAUGAACGCCCUGUCCCCUGCCCCGCUGACACUGUGGCUCGUCUCUGUCUGGGUCUUGCCAGCCAAGUGUCACGGGAACACGUUGGGACAAUGACCAACACCGUAUGCUGAAUUUCUUUCAAGGUGGUAAGUGUCGAGCUUUGGCGGAAACUUUGCUAAAUGGAACAAGACUGGCAAAGAAAUAUCUUGUCAUCCUUGGGAAAGACCCACCCAGCAAAAUCCCAAGCUCGGAUUGGAUCUGCUGUCAACAUUAUUUAUCCCUGCAUCCAGCCUACAGAAACUGUUGGCGUCAUGCAGCUUGGGGUGGACAAAACACGGAAUUCACAGCCUCUCACUUCAGCUGGGCCCUCAUUGGUGCUUUUUACUCCCUCUCCUUAAGCCUCAGUCUCCAGCCACUCCUAAGGUCCUCUAUGACUACUACAACGCCCCUGGGCUUCUCCAUUCCCACCCUCCUCCCCCUUUGCCCAGGCAGCUAGGUCAGAACCCAGAGAGGCACCCUCUGUCUCGCUGCCUUUGUCUCCCUUCACCCACAUCAAGUGUGCAAGGUUGACUAGUGCUCUCUCCGAAAUAGCUCUCUCCAUGUCCCCCACAUGGUGUGAAUUCAAGUCCCUAUCACCUUUUGCUAGAUUACUGCGAUGGGCUCUGAAUUAUUACCCCUUUCUCCUAUCUGGUUACUAUCUGGUCAUCCCUUGUCUCUUGUCUCACAUCCUUUGUCUACCUUUUAAAUGAGCCACUGCUGUAGUAACUGGCUUCCCAAUAGCACCAUGUCUCUGAUGCCCUAAGGCUUCACCCGCAUGUGUGUUCAGUGCCCGCCACAGAGCCCUGCACUGAUGCACAUCCCACAGGACCAGGAAGGGUGAGAGAUUUAUUGCAGCUCUUCACCUGUGAGGGGUGGGUGUGUGUCUAUUCAUGUUCUCCCUUAUCCAGUGGUGACCACUUCCAGAACACACCCUCGUAUUGGUUUCCCUUUCUUCCUUAUUUUUCUCUUCGCACAUUCCAUCCCUAUUCCUGGGAUCCCUUCCCAAAGUAAAGCACCUACAUCAGCACCAUCCCGGACUCAGCACAGAUGUAACUAAGUUUGAAUCCCUUCCCUCGAGGGCUAACAUCUGAAGUAGAAACAGACCCAUCGUCAGAUAAACAUAAAACCGUAGGCAUUUAUUAUGCAUAGGGUUCCUAUGGAUGCCCAUGGAGGGCAUAGAACUCAGUCUCAGGAGGUCAGGGAGGUAUCCUCUGCUGGGUCAGAAGGCUGACAUGUGGGUGGGAUGGUGGGCUGAGGGGUGGUGGGGGGAGCUGUGCAGUUAAAUGCUACUGAAUGAACACGUUUAAUGUCUUUAGGCAUCUGGGCAUCUUAAUAAAGAAAAAAAGCUCUAAGCUGCA